GACAUGUGGUCUGAGAACGGAGCCAGGCAUCAAUGCAACCAGGAUGAAACACGUGACAACACUGAGGAAUCAAACGCAGCGUUUCGUCGUCCUCGAACUCGUUGAGACAAACGGGACACUCCAAAGCUUCUUUACCGAUCCUCAACGUCUUCACUGUAGAGUAAGGAAACGUUGGAAACGUUUCUAUAACAGACGCGUCUAGCCCAGGCUCCGUCGUUUGCCUCACGUUAAGCCAGUUUCCUGGACCACCACCGCUGUCCAUCCCCAGAGCGUGCUGGAGACACCUCCUCAUGUAGACGGAGAUACAUCCAAGUGCGAAGAAAACACUAACGAGUACGAUCAUGAUUAUAGCCGUGGUUGGACUGAACGAUGUUCUUCCUUCAUCAUCAAACUCGCUGCUAGCGACAACGACCUCUAACAGUAGUAGCAAGAAAGAAGAGUAGAAGCUUACUCGUGACAUGACCACCAUCGAUGGUUGCAAAUGGUUUGACGAUUUGAUGGUGGAAGUAAGUACUUGGGCUUCCCGGUUUCAUGAGGACCAAGGCUUU